UUUUCUUGUGACUUUUUGUUCAGUUCGCAAUCGUAUCGGUAUUCCAAAAUUUUCCAAAAUGAUAAACAAAACGCAAAGGUCGGUGCUACUUAUAAUAAAUAGAUCACACGUGACAGAUUUAAAAUUCAAAUUCGAACACAUCAUGCGAUGCCACCACCCCCUUGCUGUUGACUUCAUCUCUGUCAAUCGUUAUCACCGUUUGCGAUGGUGUAAGAAAUAGCAUCGCUUUGAGCCCCUCAAAACAGUUUCUUUUGAAAUUUCAACGCGAUCGGUACUGUCUAAAGACCAUCGGACUAUCAAUUCUCGCUUGUUAAUUGUUGUUUGCUCCCGAGCGUUCGAAUCUUGCAGUUACAUUUGUGAAUAUUUGCUUGCGCUUGCCUUUUAUUAUUAGACGAUUGAGCAAUUCUCAUAAUCGCUGAAUCGACAAUAACAAGCAAUUACACAACAAGACAGCAAAUUUGCAUAAAUAAAUAUUGUACACACAAAGUCUCGUUUGCGGAAGCUACUUUUCGGCCGGAAAAUGUUGUCACAAGUUAUCGUUACAAUCAUCGCUAUAACAGUUAUAUUGAUGUCGACGCUCAGUCACGCUGCGCCGGUGCUUGGGUAUCAAACCAUUUUCGAAGACGAUACCCGUACUCAUGGCCGCCCCAAGCCGAUUUUCGUGCAUUGUGACGAAAUAGGAAAUCACUUGAAUUGUAUGCUCUAUUGUAAGAGCAGGGGUUACAAUACCGGAAAUUGUGGCGAUUUUACGUGUAACUGUUUUUAGCUUUAAUCAUUCGAGCUUAUUUAUUUUUGUGUAGUUAAUUAAUAUUAUGCUAAGGAGCUUUGUAAAUUUGUUCUAAAUAUAUUUGUAAUAACAAAAAAUAUGAUUCAACUUUA